rnacentral:antisense_RNA from 1 species
UGUGGGAGCGGGCUUGCUCGCGAAGGCGUCGGCACAGUCAAUAUUUCAGUGACUGACCCACCGCAUUCGCGAGCAAGCCCGCUCCCACA